UCACAUAUUAUCAACUUAUCACUGAGGAGUUGAAUAAGGAUCCAAAGUAGGAUCAUCAACAGGAGCGGAUUCAAAUUGAUUUGUAAGAUCAUCAGUAGGAGCGGGUUUAACUUGGCUCGAAGGAAUUGGAGCACUCACCAUACCCACUUCAUCUCCAAUGUUUUCAGAAGUUUCAGCCACGGGAGAAGGAAAAUUUUGAUUCUGCUAUGUUUUUUCAAUAGUCUCUUUGAUUUUGGCUAACUCAGACUCCAAGUUAAAAUUAUCUUAGCUAACUUCAACAAGGGUAUCAUGGCGAGAAUUUAAAAUUCCCAACUCACUUCAAUUGUGAUUUUAUCUUCAAGAAUCUCAUAAUCUCUUUCCCAGCCAGCAAUUUCAUUUCUUAGCUUCUCAUUCUCAGCCAAGGCAGACUCAUAAAACGUUUGAAGAGAAGCCUGUGAAUUUUCUAGAAAACGAACUUCUUUCAGAAGAUUCCCGGAGGUCUUCUUGAGUUUGAUUCACGGUUUGUACGAGUUCACCAGCAUAUACUUCUUUUUUACCUAAUAGAGCCUUCAACUCUCUGAUCUCUUCACUUGCCUUGGAGAGUUGCUCAGAAAAUGAGGUUUCAAGACGAUUCUUUUCCGUACGUGCUUGACUUGAGGAAGCUUUUUCAACUGCCAACUCUGAAGUGAAAGCCCUUACCUGCUGC
rnacentral:lncRNA from 1 species